rnacentral:rRNA from 1 species
UACGUAGGUCCCGAGCGUUGUCCGGAUUUAUUGGGCGUAAAGCGAGCGCAGGCGGUUUGAUAAGUCUGAAGUUAAAGGCUGUGGCUCAACCAUAGUUCGCUUUGGAAACUGUCAAACUUGAGUGCAGAAGGGGAGAGUGGAAUUCCAUGUGUAGCGGUGAAAUGCGUAGAUAUAUGGAGGAACACCGGUGGCGAAAGCGGCUCUCUGGUCUGUAACUGACACUGAGGCUCGAAAGCGUGGGUAGCAAACAGG